AUCCUACGGGACGCAGCAGUAGGGAAUCUUCCACAAUGGGCGAAAGCCUGAUGGAGCAACGCCGCGUGAGUGAAGAAGGGUUUCGGCUCGUAAAGCUCUGUUGGUAGUGAAGAAAGAUAGAGGUAGUAACUGGCCUUUAUUUGACGGUAAUUACUUAGAAAGUCACGGCUAACUACGUGCCAGCAGCCGCGGUAAUACGUAGGUGGCAAGCGUUGUCCGGAUUUAUUGGGCGUAAAGCGAGUGCAGGCGGGU
rnacentral:rRNA from 1 species